rnacentral:rRNA from 1 species
UACGGAGGAUGCAAGUGUUAUCCGGAAUCACUGGGCGUAAAGCGUCUGUAGGUGGUUUAAAAAGUCUGCUGUUAAAGCUUGAAGCUUAACUUCAAAAAUGCAGUAGAAACUUUUAAACUUGAGGGUGGUAGGGGUUGAGGGAAUUUCCAGUGGAGCGGUGAAAUGCGUAGAUCUUGGGAAGACCACCAAUGGCGAAGGCACUCGACUGGGCCACUACUGACACUGAGAGACGAAAGCUAGGGGAGCAAAUGGG